rnacentral:rRNA from 1 species
GACGAACGCUGGCGGCGUGCUUAACACAUGCAAGUCGAGGGGGAGUAGGGGCAACUCUACUUCACCGGCGAACGGGUGCGUAACACGUGAGCGACCUACCCUGGUGUGGGGGAUAGCCGGCCCAACGGCCGGGUAAUACCGCAUACGCUCUGUGAGGGGCAUCCCUUGGAGAGCAAAGCUGUGGGGCAACUCACGGCGCAUUGGGAGGGGCUCGCGGCCUAUCAGCUAGUUGGCGAGGUAACGGCUCACCAAGGCGACGACGGGUAGCUGGUCUGAGAGGAUGGCCAGCCACAUUGGGACUGAGAGACGGCCCAGACUCCUACGGGAGGCAGCAGUGGGGAAUCUUGCGCAAUGGGCGAAAGCCUGAC